rnacentral:rRNA from 1 species
GAUGAACGCUGGCGGCGUGCCUAAUACAUGCAAGUCGAGCGAACAGACGAGGAGCUUGCUCCUCUGACGUUAGCGGCGGACGGGUGAGUAACACGUGGAUAACCUACCUAUAAGACUGGGAUAACUUCGGGAAACCGGAGCUAAUACCGGAUAAUAUAUUGAACCGCAUGGUUCAAUAGUGAAAGACGGUUUUGCUGUCACUUAUAGAUGGAUCCGCGCCGCAUUAGCUAGUUGGUAAGGUAACGGCUUACCAAGGCGACGAUGCGUAGCCGACCUGAGAGGGUGAUCGGCCACACUGGAACUGAGACACGGUCCAGACUCCUACGGGAGGCAGCAGUAGGGAAUAUUCCGCAAUGGGCGAAAGCCUGAUCGAGCAACGCCGCGUGAGUGAUGAAGGUCUUCGGAUCGUAAAGCUCUGUUAUUAGGGAAGAACAAAUGUGUAUGUAACUAUGCACGUCUUGACGGUACCUAAUCAGAAAGCCCCGGCUAACUUCGUG